rnacentral:rRNA from 1 species
UACGUAGGGUGCGAGCGUUGUCCGGAAUUAUUGGGCGUAAAGAGCUCGUAGGCGGUCUGUCGCGUCGGUCGUGAAAACUUGGGGCUUAACCCUGAGCUUGCGGUCGAUACGGGCAUGACUGGAGUUCGGCAGGGGAGACUGGAAUUCCUGGUGUAGCGGUGAAAUGCGCAGAUAUCAGGAGGAACACCGGUGGCGAAGGCGGGUCUCUGGACAGUUCCUGACACUGAGACACGAAGGCCAGGGGAGCAAACGGG